rnacentral:rRNA from 1 species
CCCUUAGAUGUUCUGGGCCGCACGCGCGCUACACUGAUGCAUUCAACGAGCCUAUCCUUGACCGACAGGUCCGGGUAAUCUUUGAAUCUGCAUCGUGACGGGGAUAGAUUAUUGCAAUUAUUAAUCUUCAACGAGGAAUGCCUAGUAGGCGCAAGUCAUCAGCUUGCGUUGAUUACGUCCCUGCCCUUUGUACACACCGCCCGUCGCUACUACCGAUUGAAUGGUUUAGUGAGAUCUCCGGAUUGGCUCUGUAGGUCCCGCAAGGGAUUUAUUAGUAGCCAAGAAGCUGCUCAAACUUGAUCAUUUAGAGGAAGUAAAAGUCGUAACA